CUUGCAUGAGUACAAGGUCCCUUUUAGCUUGAUCUAGGCUUAAUACUCUAUUAUAGCAUGAAAUCCCUUAUUUUCCACCCGGAUGAACAGUAAUCCGGACUGACAAUGGGUUACUUCAUCCCGGUUUUGAUCCACUUUCAGGACUCCAAAUUUGAUGAAAUUUUUACCUAACAUUCUACACUCAUAGAGGAUUCCAGAAUAGUAAUAUGCAUCACUAUCGGAGCCGUUUGACCCCCAAAAUAAUUCGCCGAAGUUGGGACUUCGACACAGUUUUUCCGUAAUGCCGGAAAAAUUUGUCGAAAUCCGAUUGUUCCUCUUUUAACCAUCUCUACAACCCUUAUCUGACCCCUCUAGACUACAUCCACCCUUUGUAUAGCCUAAUAUCAUCAAAAGACUAGAUAGGGAUGGAUAUUUACCUUUUUCUUUUUGGAAAUCGAGGUCCUUGCGUAGAGGAGAAGGAGAUCUACACUUUUCCCUUCAGCUGGAAGUGCAAUCGGGAUCCCCUUUCUCCUCGAAUUCCCUUCCUCUUCUUCUUUUUCUUCUUCUUCUUCUUCUUCUUCUCUUUUUCUUUCUCUGUGUGUCGUCUGAGAACCCUCCCCCUCUCCUCUCUGUUUCACUCCCGUGAGCGAGCUCAAACCCUCCAUUUAAAUCACAUCAAGAUACUAUUCACCCUUUCUUUAAUAUUAUUAAAUUUCCAUUUUGCCCCUAACACUUCAACAUAUCUACUGUUAUGCCAUUAACUUUUGAUUCAUUUCCAAUUUUACCCUUACCACUUCAACGUAUCUACAACUAUGCCAUUAUCUUUUGAUUCCUUCCAAUUUUACCCCUAAUAUCAAUUUUAAAGGACUAUUCUAUCCCUUGUUAUAUAAAAAAAAUUUUGGGGUUAUUACAGGUGGACACAACCAUUACCUCUAGGGCUCCCCCGGAUCCAACUGAUGACCGUGGCCGAGUCCCUCUUUAGGACAAUGGAACUGGCCCUUAAAACAUACCGGGCGUGACGAAGGCCCGCCCACGCGGCCCUCAGCUCCGCACCCGAAACCGAUAUAUUGAAGAGUUGACUGCCUCUGCAGCCACGACCUUGGCAGAUAGGUCUCGAAUAACAAAACUCGCGUCGCCCCUCGUACCUCCAUCCAAGACAGACACAUCGAA
rnacentral:lncRNA from 1 species